GGUAUCGGCCCUGUUUUUUACGCUCGUGUCCCCAGCCAUUGCUGCUCCGCAGGAUCCGGCGGCCACCCGUGUGGGCGUGAUCAAUAUGCAGAAGGCUAUCCAAAGCGUGGGUGAAGGUAAAAAAGCCCAAGAGACUUUGAAGAAAGAGUGGGAUGAGCGCUCGAAGAAGCUCCAGGCCGAUGGAAAAAAAAUCCAGGAGUCGAUGGAAAAUCUACGCAAGCAGGCCAUGGUGCUCGAUGAAAAAUCCCGUCGCCAAAAAGAAGAAGAGAUUCAGCAGCAGAUCAUGAAGCUUCGCGAGUCGGAAGCCCGCAAUACGGCUG
rnacentral:misc_RNA from 1 species